GCUGAUGCUUAUUAUUUUUAUUUUAUUAUUUCAUUUCAUUUGAUUUUAUAUGAUACCCCUCUGACUGGGUUACAAUAAAUUAAAACACAGUAAGACAUCAACCAUUAAAAACUUCCCUAUACAGUGCUGCCUUCAGAUGUCUCCUAAAAGUCAGGUAGUUGUUUAUUUCUUCGACAUCUGAUGGGAGGGCAUUCCACAGGGCGGGCGCCACUACUGAGAAGGCCAUCUGCCUGGUUCCGUGUUACCUUCGCUUCUUGCAUUGAGGGAACUGCCAGAAGGCCCCCGGAGCUGGACCUCAGUGUGGAGGUCAGCUGGAGAGCCAGUGUGGUGUAGUGGUUCAGAGCGGUGGGCUCGUAAUCUGGUGAACUGGGUUUGCGUCUCCGCUCCUCCACAUGCAGCUGCUGGGUGACCUUGGGCUAGUCACACUUCUUUGAAGUCUCUCAGCCCCACUCACCUCACAGAGUGUUUGUUGUGGGGGAGGAAGGGAAAGGAGAUUGUUAGCCCCUUUGAGACUCCUUAGGGUAGUGAUAAAGUGGGAUAUCAAGUCUAAGCUCUUCCGGGCAGAACCAAGGCAAGUGGAGACGUUCCUUCAGGCAUGCGAGGCCAAAGCUAUUUAGGGCUUUAAAGGUCAGCACCAACACUUUGAAUUCUGCUCUGAAAUGUACCGGGAGCCAAUGAUAUGAUGCAAGGGUUUGGUUUCGUGUUUUUUUAAAAAAAUAAACUAACCACUGAGCUGCACUUGCCCAAAGUUUCAUUCCCCCUUUCUUUUCUUUGCAGCAUGCGGAAAUGACGGCCGACCCAGAGAGCUCUCAGCUGGCUGCAGAGCCUUUCUCCCUGGCGGAUUCUCUCCCAAGCCCCCCGGAUGUGAACCUCCCUUCCCCGGAGCCCAGGAGACGGCGGGACGCCUGGUCCCGCAAGGAGACCAUCGCCUUCAUUGACAUCUGGAAAGCGGAGGACGUCCAGAUCGCCCUGGGCCAGCAGUACCGCAACAUGAAGCUCUUUGCCUGGAUUGCCGACCGCCUCCGCGAGCGGGGCUUUGAGCGGGACGCCGAGCAGUGCCGCAGCCGGGCCAAAGACCUCAAGCGCGGCUACAAGGAGAUCAAGUGCGGGAACCUCCACUCGGGGAGGGCGCCCAAGACCGCCCCCUACUUCAAGCUGCUGGAGCAGUUCCUCUGCCUCCGCAAGGGCAUCGUCUGCGGGAAGGUGUGCGGGGCCGGCGUGGUGGAGCGGCUGGACAAGCGGCGCAAGAGGCUGCCCCUCAACCCCAUGGCCGCCACCAGGAUCGCCAGGGAAGCAGCCAACGCCGCCCCAGAGCCAGCCGCGAACGAGCGGCAGUACGUCAUCCCCUUGCCACAGGCCUCCCCUCCCAAAGAGCUCCGGGGGGCGGCCACCGAACUGGGCAGGCAGGCCCGAAAGCCGUCCGAGGACGACGAUGUGCCGAUCGUGGGGAAAGAGGAGCCGCCGCGGGGCAGUAGUGUCCCCUUGCCCUCCCCAGAGAACCCUGCUGAACCUCAGGUGUCAAGCGCUGCGGAGGAGCCAAGAAGGCCGACCGCCGGCAACGUGGAUCGCAUGCGCUUCCGGCGGGAGCGUAACUGGCGCCAGCGAUUGGAGUCUGGCCGGCGGCCGGCGGACCCCUCAUCCUCCCCGGCGAUGGCGUCCUCCUCCAAGGCGAACGCUGAUCUUGUGGACGCACUGCGGCAGCUGCACCGGCAGGACCUGCAGGCCUUCGAAAACACCCGGCAGGAGGAGCGUGCUGAAGACAGGCAGGAGAGGCGCCAGGAAAAGCAGGAGCGGGAGGAGGACCGCGCCACCACUCACCGCAUGAUCGCGGCCAUCGAACGCUCCCACCAGACCCUGGCUGACCUCAUGGGCAGGCAGACCUCCGCCAUGGAGGCCAUUGCGACGGCCUUUUCGGCCCCGAAAUACCCCUCUCCCAGCCUCUUUCCGGGGUUCAGCCCUCCGUGGUCGGCCCAGCAGGCCGCUCCCAACUCCGGGGAGAGGCGGGCCAGCGCCUCCGGGAGCAACACAAUGCCCUUGCCUUCCCCCACCCCUGACAAACCCGGGAUGCACGUUCCUGCCGGGGCACAAGACUUGGCUCCGGGACCUGACCCAGCGCCAGGCCCCCUGUGUCCCUCCACCAGCCUCGAGCCUUUCCCUCCCUUAACGAACCCGAGUCCCGGAGAUUCGCCAGCCACCUCGCUGCCAGCUCCCGUCACACACCCCAGCGCCACUUCGAAGCAGAGCCAGAAGAGGAAAAACUGUGACUGAGCGACACUUUGCAGUCCCCCACACUUUCUCGUCUGACCAGGUGGUUCCCACUGCCAUCCUGUUCCGUUCCUUCUCCUUAUUGAUUGCAGUCUAUGGUUUUUGUCAUUGUUCCACCUUCCCGUCUGCCUCACUUUCUUCCCUCGCAAGCAAUGCUGGAUCAUGCCAAAGGGGGUCUCUGCAGUCCAGCAUACAGGUCGGCCAGCUGGGGAACCCCCAAGGAAAGAAGGGUCAGGGCCUGUGGAAUGGUGUUGGGACAACAAUGAGGGAGAAGAAGGAGCAGACUUGGGAGAAGAGGUGUCGGAAGCUGAAGGGGUAACAGGGCUUAGUGAGCGGGGAGAGUGUGUGGCAGAGAGCAGCCCAGAAUCAGAGGCAGAAGCUGAAGCAGAGGGUGGGAGGAGAGAGUAUUCUGGCUGGUGAAGAGUCACGGAUGUCUCACCUUCCUGCUGCAACAAGUUCCCUUCCCCCUUGUUCUCCCAGAACCAGGAGAGGCAUGAAGAGGACGGAGGGGCAGUUAGCUUUAUGCAGGCACAGUCUCCGGUUGCUUGGAAAAGGCCCUGGAGAGGAGGGGAGUUAGGCAGCCAUGGGGAGCCCUUCAGUCUCAGCCACUGCUUCAUGGAGGAGAUCAGUUGCUCUGCUCAUUAGGCCGGACACUCCUGUGCAUAUCCUGUUUUUGCUAAUAAAGAGUUAACUCCAAUUUGCUUGGUGUGAUUUACUGCUGGCUCACUUUUGUCAAUGCCUCAGUGCCCGCAGAGCAGAAUCUGAGAGCAACAGCCCAACGCUCCCCAUUUCUGAUCCCCAGUGACUGGUAUUCAAAGGCAUAUUGCCUCUUGACAGGGCUAGUAGCCACAGAUAGUCUUAUUAUCCUCCACAGAUUUGUCCAAUAUUCUUUUAAAAGCAUCCGAGUUGGUGGCCAUCACUGCUUCUCAUAGGAGCAUAUUCUCAGCCUGCCUGCUUUUGUGAUUAGAGAACUUCAGAUUCUGUUUUUGUUUUUUUAACCCCAGUUAGCAGGCUUCCAUCUUAUUUCUUAUCUGGAAAAUUUACUAAUGACACACACAAAAUCAGCUGCAUUUACAAUAAUACACACAUAAAACCAGCCAGGUUUUCAUUAAUUGAUUUAGAAAGAUUAGUAAGCUGCUGGAUCGAAUUGCCCUUCAGUUGGUGCAUACCAGGGAUGGGGAGCCUGUAGCCAUUCAGAUGCUGCAGGAAUCAUAGAAUUGUAGAGCUGGAAGGGAACCCAAGGGUCAUCUAGUCCAACCCCCUCAGUACAGCUCCCAUCAUCCCUGACCAUUGGCCAUAUUGACUGAGGCUAAUGGGAGAUGAAGCCCACUGACAUAGGGAGGGCCGCAACCUUAGUGUACAUUAUAAGAUUUGUAGGAUAAAACACAGCUAAAAGCUGCAAAAUUAUUAUAAGAUCAGUAUCCGUAGAAGGAUCAAAAAUGCAGAUGAAACCAGCAAAACCUUUAAAAGCAACCUAGGUGACUAAAUCGGAGCGGCCCAACUUUUCAUACCAAGUGGGCUUCACAAGUACUCCUAAGGGGAACCUACUGUGUGGGCGGAAGCAAAGGCAAAAUCACAUGCUCCCCUCGGCCCUCGUGCUGCCUUCCCAAAGCAGGCUAAGCGAGGCACCAGGAAGCAGUCCUUUAGGCUUUAGGAAGCAGUCACAACUCUACUUAAUCUAUGUGCCGAGUUUGAUUUUCA
ensembl:lncRNA